ACGCUCGACACCUACGAGAGGCAGCAGUGGGGAAUAUUGCACAAUGGGGGAAACCCUGAUGCAGCGACGCCGCGUGAGCGAAGAAGUAUUUCGGUAUGUAAAGCUCUAUCAGCAGGGAAGAAACUGACGGUACCUGACCAAGAAGCACCGGCUAAAUACGUGCAGCAGCCGCGGUAAUCUGAGGCGGGCUGGCAAGGC
rnacentral:rRNA from 1 species